rnacentral:rRNA from 1 species
GAAUUGACGGGGGCCCGCACAAGCGGAGGAACAUGUGGUUUAAUUCGAUGAUACGCGAGGAACCUUACCCGGGCUUGAAUUGCAGAUGAAGGAUCCAGAGAUGGUGACGCCCUUCGGGGCAUCUGUGAAGGUGCUGCAUGGUUGUCGUCAGCUCGUGCCGUGAGGUGUCGGCUCAAGUGCCAUAACGAGCGCAACCCCUCUCUUCAGUUGCCAUCAGGUCAAGCUGGGCACUCUGGAGACACUGCCACCGCAAGGUGUGAGGAAGGUGGGGAUGACGUCAAAUCAGCACGGCCCUUACGUCCGGGGCUACACACGUGUUACAAUGGGGGGUACAGAAAGCCGGCUGCCCGCAAGGUCAGUCCAAUCAAGAAAGCCUCCCUCAGUUCGGACUGGGGUCUGCAACCCGACCCCACGAAGCUGGAUUCGCUGGUAAUCGCGCAUCAGCCAUGGCGCGGUGAAUACGUUCCCGGGCCUUGUACACACCG